GAUGAACGCUGGCGGCGUGCCUAAUACAUGCAAGUCGAGCGAACAGAUGAGGAGCUUGCUCCUCUGACGUUAGCGGCGGACGGGUGAGUAACACGUGGAUAACCUACCUAUAAGACUGGGAUAACUUCGGGAAACCGGAGCUAAUACCGGAUAAUAUAUUGAACCGCAUGGUUCAAUAGUGAAAGACGGUUUUGCUGUCACUUAUAGAUGGAUCCGCGCCGCAUUAGCUAGUUGGUAAGGUAACGGCUUACCAAGGCAACGAUGCGUAGCCGACCUGAGAGGGUGAUCGGCCCCACUGGAACUGAGACACGGUCCAGACUCCUACGGGAGGCAGCAGUAGGGAAUCUUCCGCAAUGGGCGAGAGCCUGACGGAGCAACGCCGCGUGAGUGAUGAAGGUCUUCGGAUCGUAAAACUCUGUUAUUAGGGAAGAACAAAUGUGUAAGUAACUAUGCACGUCUUGACGGUACCUGAUCAGAAAGCCACGGCUAACUACGUG
rnacentral:rRNA from 1 species